rnacentral:rRNA from 1 species
UACGUAGGGUGCGAGCGUUGUCCGGAAUUAUUGGGCGUAAAGAGCUCGUAGGCGGUUUGUUACGUCCGCUGUGAAAACCCAGGGCUUAACCCUGGGCUUGCAGUGGAUACGGGCAGACUAGAGGUAGGUAGGGGAGAAUGGAAUUCCCGGUGUAGCGGUGAAAUGCGCAGAUAUCGGGAGGAACACCGGUGGCGAAGGCGGUUCUCUGGGCCUUACCUGACGCUGAGGAGCGAAAGCGUGGGGAGCGAACAGG